CCCCUAGAUGUUCUGGGCCGCACGCGCGCUACACUGAACAGUUCAACAAGUCUUAACCUUGGCCGAUAGGUCUGGGUAAUCUUUGAACGCUGUUCGUGAUUGGGAUAGACCUUUGCAAUUAUGGGUCUUCAACGAGGAAUUCCUAGUAAACGCAAGUCAUCAGCUUGCAUUGAUUACGUCCCUGCCCUUUGUACACACCGCCCGUCGCACCUACCGAUUGAAUGGUCCGGUGAAAUCUCGGGACGGCGGCUCGGUCGCUUGCGUCCGACUGCUGAAACUUGAUUAAACCAUAUCAUUUAGAGGAAGGUGAAGUCGUAACA
rnacentral:rRNA from 1 species